rnacentral:rRNA from 1 species
CCUACGGGGGGCAGCAGUAGGGAAUCUUUCACAAUGGGCGAAAGCCUGAUGGAGCAACGCCGCGUGCAGGAUGAAGGCCUUCGGGUUGUAAACUGCUUUUAUAAGCGAGAAAUAUGAUGGUAACUUAUGAAUAAGGAUCGGCUAACUACGUGCCAGCAGCCGCGGUAAUACGUAGGGGGCAAGCGUUAUCCGGAUUUACUGGGUGUAAAGGGGGCGCAGACGGCGAUGCAAGCCAGGAGUGAAAGCCCGGGGCCCAACCCCGGGACUGCUCUUGGAACUGCGUGGCUGGAGUGCAGGAGGGGCAGGCGGAAUUCCUGGUGUAGCGGUGAAAUGCGUAGAUAUCAGGAGGAACACCGGUGGCGAAGGCGGCCUGCUGGACUGCAACUGACGUUGAGGCCCGAAAGCGUGGGGAGCAAACAGGAUUAGAUACCCCUGUAGUC